rnacentral:rRNA from 1 species
UAACUCGGCCCGAGAAAUUCGAUUGAGUUUGUAUCCUGGCUCAGAACGAACGCUGGCGGCAGGCCUAACACAUGCAAGUCGAGCGCUACCUUCGGGUGGAGCGGCGGACGGGUUAGUAACGCGUGGGAAUAUACCCUUCACUAUGGAAUAGCCUCGGGAAACUGAGAGUAAUACCAUAUACGCCCUUCGGGGGAAAGAUUUAUCGGUGAAGGAUUAGCCCGCGUAAGAUUAGAUAGUUGGUGGGGUAAUGGCCUACCAAGUCUACGAUCUUUAGCUGGUUUUAGAGGAUGAUCAGCAACACUGGGACUGAGACACGGCCCAGACUCCUACGGGAGGCAGCAGUGGGGAAUCUUAGACAAUGGGCGCAAGCCUGAUCUACCCAUGCCGCGUGAGUGAUGAAGGUCUUAGGAUCGUAAAGCUCUUUCGCUAGGGAUGAUAAUGACAGUACCUAGUAAAGAAGCCCCGGCUAACUCCGUGCCAGCAGCCGCGGUAAUACGAGGGUGGCUAGCUGUUGUUUCGGUAUUCUGGAR